rnacentral:lncRNA from 1 species
CAGACCCGCCUGUGGCCGCAGCUGUGGUGUCCCAUUUUAAUGACUGCCCAGAUUCCCACAGUCAGUUCUGCUUCCAUGGAACCUGCAGGUUUUUGGUGCAGGAAGACAAGCCAGCGUGCGUCUGCCAUUCUGGGUACGUGGGCGCGCGCUGUGAGCAUGCCGACCUCCUGGCCGUGGUGGCUGCCAGCCAGAAGAAGCAGGCCAUCACCGCCUUGGUGGUGGUCUCCAUCGUGGCCCUGGCUGUCCUCAUCAUCGCGUGUGUGCUGAUACACUGCUGCCAGGUCCGAAAACACUGUGAGUGGUGCCAGGCUCUCAUCUGCCGGCACGAGAAGCCCAGUGCCCUGCUGAAGGGAAGGACCGCUUGCUGCCACUCAGAAACAG